rnacentral:rRNA from 1 species
AACGCGAAGAACCUUACCUACCCUUGACAUCCAGCGAAGGCAGCAGAGAUGUUGCUGAGCCGAAAGGCACGCUGAGACAGGUGCUGCAUGGCUGUCGUCAGCUCGUGUUGUGAGAUGUUGGGUUAAGUCCCGUAACGAGCGCAACCCUUAUCCUUAGUUGCCAUCAUUAAGUUGGGGACUCUAAGGAGACUGCCGGUGAUGAACCGGAGGAAGGCGGGGACGACGUCAAGUCAUCAUGGCCUUUAUGGGUAGGGCUACACACGUGCUACAAUGGGCAGUACAGAGGGCAGCGAAAGCGCGAGCUGAAGCCAAUCCCGAAAAGCUGUUCGUAGUCCGGAUCGGAGUCUGCAACUCGACUCCGUGAAGUCGGAAUCGCUAGUAAUCGCGAAUCAGAAUGUCGCGGUGAAUACGUUCCCGGGCCUUGUACACACCGGAGUGC